UACGGAGGGUGCAAGCGUUGUCCGGAUUCAUUGGGCUUAAAGGGUGCGCAGGCGGGACAUUAAGUCAGGGGUGAAAGCCCAGAGCUCAACUCUGGAACUGCCUUUGAAACUAGAGGACUUGGGUACGGGAGAGGUGAGUGGAAUUCCGAGUGUAGAGGUGAAAUUCGUAGAUAUUCGGAAGAACACCAGUGGCGAAGGCGGCUCACUGGCCCGUUACCGACGCUCAGGCGCGAAAGCGUGGGGAGCAAACAGG
rnacentral:rRNA from 1 species